AGAUCCGGUGAUCUGGCUGUGUCAUCUGUCAUCCCACUGAUCACCAGGAUUGAUUCUGCUGAUCUGGCUGGCUAGGUGAGUGUCCCUUUCCUGCCUCACUGCUCCAUGUCCAUCCCCCACCCCCCAAAGCUGCUCGCUUGGUUGAAGAGGCUGACCAUCCCCCAUAGAGGAGGACCGUUCUCCUGCCAAGGUUAUGUGAAUAGCUGUGCUCCCCUGCUAGAACCCCUAAACAAGCUCUUGUUGUUUUCUUUAAAGUAACAUUUAGAUUCACUGCUGGACUAAAGGG
rnacentral:snRNA from 1 species